rnacentral:rRNA from 1 species
UGGAGAGUUUGAUCCUGGCUCAGAUUGAACGCUGGCGGCAGGCCUAACACAUGCAAGUCGAGCGGAUGAGUGGAGCUUGCUCCAUGAUUCAGCGGCGGACGGGUGAGUAAUGCCUAGGAAUCUGCCUGGUAGUGGGGGAUAACGUUUCGAAAGGAACGCUAAUACCGCAUACGUCCUACGGGAGAAAGUGGGGGAUCUUCGGACCUCACGCUAUCAGAUGAGCCUAGGUCGGAUUAGCUAGUUGGUGGGGUAAUGGCCCACCAAGGCGACGAUCCGUAACUGGUCUGAGAGGAUGAUCAGUCACACUGGAACUGAGACACGGUCCAGACUCCUACGGGAGGCAGCAGUGGGGAAUAUUGGACAAUGGGCGAAAGCCUGAUCCAGCCAUGCCGCGUGUGUGAAGAAGGUCUUCGGAUUGUAAAGCACUUUAAGUUGGGAGGAAGGGCAGUAAGUUAAUACCUUGCUGUUUUGACGUUACCAACAGAAUAAGCACCGGCUAACUUCGUGCCAGCAGCCGCGGUA